UGCACAGCAGCAGUUUGCUCACCAUGCACCAGUUAGCUUCCUCUGCCUCCUGAGCAGCUGGGCUUGGUCUCUGGCAGCAGGCAUCUGGGGCAUGUAGCUGCCUCUUCAGCUGUCCUGCCAACAGAAGAAACUUACCUCCCAUCAUCUUCCUGAGUGCCUGCCUCAGCUGCCACAGCACCUACAGCACCCUUCUCAACGCAACUGGAAGUGUUGGUGCCUAAGGAGCUGCACAAGCCUGAACCUCCUGCUACUUGCCAGAUGUGUGAGCUUGAGCCAUUCUCUUACCCCGUGGGGGGAUCACAGCUUCCAACAUGUAAAAUAGCAGUCAUAGUGCCAACUUCUUCACAAUAAAAAAGGCAGCAUUCUCUUCAUCUGCAAAGGCGAACAUCAGAAUUACACCUUUCAUUCAUUGACCAACAAAUCUUGAGGACCAGCAUCUUGUAACGCAGGUCCCUCCUUCUACAGAGCUUUUCGGAUUCUAGAGGGCAGCAUGCACAGGGCAGAGGCAGCUGUUGGAGGCAGCAGUUCUGUAGAAAGAAAGGCUAACCCUGGCUUUGAGCCUGGUUUUACCACUUAGCAGCUAUAUGGCUGUGGGCAAUAAACCUCUCUGAGCUGCAGUCUCUUCACACAUAAGACAUACAUAAUAAACACGUUUCUUCCAGUUUUAUCAUGAAAAUUAAAGAUGUUGAGGGAUGCAUAGGCAGAGCACAGAGGAUGUUUAGGGCAGUGAAGCUACUCUGUAUGACACUUAUAAUGGUCAUUAUAUGUUUACCCAAACCCGUAGAGUGUACAACACCAAAAGCGAACCCUCCUGCGUAAACUACGGACUUUGGGUGACAAUGAUGUAUCGGUGUAGGUUCAUCGAUUGUAACAAAUGUACCACUCUGGUGGGGGUGUUCAGAAUAGAGGAGGCUAUGCAUUUGUGAGGGCACAAGGUGUAUGAGAUAUCUCUUUACCUCUGCUCAAUUUUGCUGUGAACCUAAAA